rnacentral:tRNA from 1 species
AGCUCAGUCAGUAGAGCAUGAGAUUCUUAAUCUCAGGGUUGUGGGUUCGGGCCCCAU